rnacentral:tRNA from 1 species
CAAGAAGUAGUUUAGUUUAAAAUAUUAAUUUUGGAGAUUAAAGAUAGGUUAAUUCUUUUUCUUGA